ACUAUUCCAUAUUGUGCCUAUUAGCUCGGAUCCUGUCCCAGCUCGUCGUUGUGUCAUUCACAGUCCAGUCGUCAAACCCGUCAUCUCCUGCUCAACCCCACCUCACCAGCUCGCUCAAGACUACAAUCGAAGGUCGUCGUCAAUCCGUGUGUCAUCAAGCAAUCUCAAGAAUCGGGUGAAGACGAAGUUAGCAGCGCGAUAUUUCCUAAGCGCUCGACAAAUUGCCUGAAUCGGAAAAGCGCUACCGAUCUCGUGGAUUUAUGUCAGCUGUGGAAACGGUAAGCUGAUAAAUUAUUCAGAAUAGUUCGAUCGAUAAAUAAAUUAAUGUGCUAGUGCGAUGCUCAUUAAGGUGCUCGAUAAAUUGCGCGAGUCACGAAACUCUCGUCGACUUCGCGGUUUUUGCGAGUAUCGAGCCAGAUUCAGUUAUAGCGAGUUAUGUCGCUAUUCCGGUCACUUAGCUGAAUUAGUGGACCGAGUAAAAUUUUGAUAGGCAUGUGUGAUGAUAAAAUAUUUUAAUCACCUAUAAAGAUGUAGUAUAAUUUAUAAGGCAAGGGAUUAGUUCAGAAUUUAAUUAAUUAACUGAUAACUGUGAUUAGGCUAAUUGUAUUUCUUGUGUACAGUUUGAUGUUCGUGAUGUUUGCGUUAGGUUCGAGAAGCGUAAUUAUUGCGCGUAGUCAUAUAUUAAUAACUAGUGUUUCCGUAUAAAAUUGUACAACGCCUCGGCGCUAGGUGUUUAAUUCACCGUCGUGUAGCCUUAUUUAGGUUUGUGAUAUUGUUGUUUAUAUGCAUUCAUGUGCAUUAUGCAAAUCAUUUAGGUACGUUGAUUAACCACGAGAUGCGGAGAGCUUGAGUCAAGUCGACCCCAAGCGUGGACUACUCCGCAUGGUCAAGCUGAUGGACCAACCUGAAGAUGGUUAAAUCAAGCGAAUGUUCGGUUGAGGGAUACUCGUCAAGCGGACGUCAUCUAACAAACACUAACAUAGUGUUUAUUCCAGGCAAGCCCCGGUGCAUGCAACCCCUUUCCUUGUGUUUUUAAAUACUUUUCGCACACUUUAAGUCUAGUGAAAUGUGCAUUAGGUUCAUAGGAGUUGCUUGGAACCCUUUGAUGCAUUGCUUUCCUUGAUAUCCAUACCUUUAUAGAUACUUCUGUGAAGUAUCAAAAUUAUGAUUUACAAAAAUGCUUAGCCUUGCUUAGAUCUUGUGGAUAGAGGUUGUCCUCAGUCUAACCCGGGAGAGGAUGGCUUCUACCUGCAAGAAUAUUUUCAUUUGGAGCAAUAGUGGGAUCUUACUGUAAAGUUCCCUGUGAUGCUCUUUCAUCCUAAGGAACAGACACAAUCCUAAGGAUGGAAAUACUUAAAUUGAGACUUGGGUUAGGAACAGGUGAUGUUCUACCCAGGUUGGUUAAGGAUUAAUGCGUAUGUAGGCGUGCUGACCGAGGACCCUUUAACUGGUCACAUGCCUCGUCAUGGGUAAGCCUUGCCUCGGGCAGACUAAGGCCAGAAUAAGAUAACACGAAAUGGGCGUGGAGCGGUGGCGAGAGUAGCGUGUACCCUCCGUGGCAAGAGGCUGGACGGUGGUGUAUCUGUGCUCUCGGUUUGCGUGAACCUGAUCUGGUCUUAAGAACCCCGGUGGUGGGUUGACAUAUGCAAGGGUUAAGUGCUACAUAUGUCGUGUGAUUGGAGAUCCUCAGCUGAGUAUAAUCGAUUCGGAUCGCCGUACCUUCGCGGUUAUGAAGACUUGGUCACUUUUCUACAACCUAAGUCAGGAUGUGAACCUCAUGAAUAAAAAUGAUGUUGUAUUGAUGAGAUGGUGAAAUUAGACUAGAUGCAAACAUAGUCUAUUAAUAUUUAAUCUGGCGUUAAAACAUUGAAAGUAAGGAUUCACUUUAGUAAGCUAUUUCUGCAAAAGUAUCUAAGUUGAUUCUUACUAAAGCCUCUCCUUGAUUCCUAUUUAUCCAGCAUAUCCUUGAGAGUCUUUUCCUUAGUCGGGUAAGACUUGCUGAGUAAUUCCAUACUCAGGGUUUUAUUCCCUGUUGUUUUUCAGGUUCUAACUUUGUGCUGUUGUUGAUGGUGUUAAGUGCCGGUGGGCUCGGCCUUCUUAUAAGUCUAAGUAACCCUUCUAUACUUCUUAUUGAGGAUGAUCCCUUGAGCUAGCAUAUAUUUCAAACUUAUACUUUUGUAAUCACUCCGAUAAACUAAUGUAAAAUUUUUGUAACCUGUAAAAUUUGGUAGUAAGAUUUCCGCUGCAACAAUAUUGGUGUGUGUGAUUUGUGUUACUUAAUCCCGCGGUUCUGGUUGUUCGUGGUUUAUCCGAUGUCCUUGGGGCAAUCGGACGGAUCCUGUUAAGUUAUCUGGUGCACAUGCAUAGCUGUCUGAGGUCUUUGAGACAAGGACAUGUGCAUGUGGGCCCAAUAACUUGGGAGGUUCUGCCACAGCUGGUAUCGGAGCUGGAUUAAGUAUAUACAGUCACAUACAUAUUUUCAAAACAAAAGUUUUGGUUUCGAAAAACCUAUUUUCAACUAAACAUAUUGUUUGGCUUUGAAAAAUAGUUUUGAAAAACUAUAAUGCUAGCGACAUCCUCUGUUAAGCCCUAAACUAAGGACUAUUAGGUGGCUUAGUUGAAAACCACUAACCCACAACCGGGUGGGUAUUGCAUACAUGUGUAUUGUUAUUUUUGAAAACCAUUCCGUUUGGAAUGGAUCGAUGCCCAAGGUAAGGUGAGUUGUGAGAGCAUGACCGAACAACCGUCGGUCUAGGGGAAUGCUUAAUUGUGGCGCUUGAUUAUAUACAUGUUCUAUAUUUGUAUAUAUGAAAGCUGCGAUGUGGAGUAAUUACUUUUCUGGGAAUUCAGUACCCCAUGGAUGUGUAUGGGCAUACAGACAUGGGAAUACUGAGAAGUGUAAUGUACUUGUAACGACGCACCUACGCUCAGGUAAGAAGGUGAGUUACCAUAAUGAGUUGCCCUAUGGUUAAAGUGUGGCAACAGCACCUAUGCGUGGCUCGGCGCUUAAUGAAGAGCUGGCCUCCAUAUAGCAAUAUAUGGAGUAUAAACUGUGAUAAACUGUCAUGUGUGAACUGCAUCAUUGGAAAUUGGGCUGUGAUGGAUUUUUCUGCAGGUACACUAACCUCGAAAACGUAUGUGUAGCUGACGACUAGAAAAAUACCGUGAGAGUCGUAAGAAUGCCACCGAUAUAGAACGUUAUUGCCACAUUUGGUUGGCAAAAUCAGUGAGGACGUGUAGGACGAGCAUGCAUCCUGAUUGUUGCAUCAUGUUUGUCACCUAUACACCCAAGAUGCUUCUCUCAUCUUUAUUCCAGUAACCAUUGAUUGUAGAUAAUAUGGUGUAAUGCUGAAUUAUGAACUUCGAUGAAAUAGGUGUCCUCCAUUCUUUAGGUAACCUAUUCAGGUCUUAUAUGGUGUUUGCUCUCGUGCUUGAUGUGCUGAUAGAAGGUUGGUAGUUGGUUGCUUAAACCCAAAAUUAGGCCAUGUUCUUAUUUAGUGAACCAUGACCCCAGAGUUGAAUUCUCCAUUAUCACUCCAUGACUAAACCCAUGCAAAUAAAUGCGUAGAUAAUUUCUUUGUUGGACAUAAAUUGUGCCUAGGCUUAAACAAGAAUCUCGAGUCAUGUUUCCUUCUAAAACCAUUCCCUUGUUUAUUGGUGCAAGCUGAUGUACCUUAACUAGUUCGCCUGUUCUUAAGGAUCGCCAUGUUGAAUUAUCAACCCAACCUAGGAAAAGUAUGUCCGACCAUUUUCUUGAAUUUGAUGCCUUUGAUUUCCCCCAUACCUAUCGAAGGCAUACCAACUUAAUCUUAUGAUUGUUUCCCCUCUGUAUCUAAUCAGAUACUAAUCCUUGACCCUUGUACUCUCUGCGAUGGGCAUAGAAAUAUACUUGGGGCUGAAGUAUCAGUCUCCCAUCGUACUCCCUCACCACCCAGUUUAGGUUAUGGCCAUGUCGUAUUCAUUUCAUCGGGCCAUAAUCUAUUUAGCUCUCUACUUGUAACCAUUCUUACAAGUGGAGUCUCUUUUGAAUAUUGUCAUCCAGACUCAGUCUAUUUGUGUGGCACGGGAUUUCUUAUUGGUUACGUCUAGUAAUGGUGUUAUGACUAAAACCGAUGGUGCCGUGACGAAACCGAGGGCCUCCUGUGAAUGUACACACAUGGUCGUGCUGCUCGGCACGCGCUGGUAUCACUGUUAGUAGUUGUAAUCCAUUAUGAGACUAUGUCAAUGUGUUAUCUUGAUACAAUCUGUUUUUGCUACGUGAGAUUCAUUAUUGGUGCCAGUUCGGUGAUGGUGUCAUGAUUAAGGACUUAUGGUGCCGCAGCGAAACUGAGAGCCCCUUGUGAAUGUACACGCAAGGUUAUGCUGCUUGGCGCAUGCUGGUAUCGAGGUCUCUGGUCAUGAUCCAUUGUGGAACUACACUUAUGUAUGAUCUUUCAUGGACUCCUUCCUUGAAACAAUUUCUAUGUUGUUUGUGAAGUGAUCAAGCAACAUCUAUCAUCUCAAUUGGAUCAAAAGGGCACACCACUUUCAUGUGUGGUCUUAUUUCUUUUGGUCUUGGUAGUGACUACUUAUACAUGUUCCCUUUACAUCCUUUGUGUAAAGGUGAAGCCUUUGGAGCUUUUUAGUGUUGGAGAAACAACUGAUUAGCUCUCAAAUUGGAGAUUGACUUUCCCUGCUGUUGAGAUGCAGGAGUUUGUUCAUUCGCUCUCCUAUUUUCCAUGUAUUUUUGAACCCAGUCCGUUCAUCUCACAUGAAGAAACGGAUGAACGACCUGACCAAAUGGACUUCUACCCAAAUGCAUGACCUUUGCGAGUAAAUGUGAACUCUCAACCCUUGGCUUACCGAAGGUACUGAGAGAACUUGCUCAAUGUCAAAAGUAGUUCAACAAGCUGGUUUUUACUAACUUGUAACUGCCUAAUGAACGAAGGUUGAGUUUAGAGAUCGUUUUGUCGAGUUGUCUAAACUCACUUUGGUUCAACUCACUCUAAAGAAAGUACUUACAAGAAUCGAGAUUAAGUCGAUUAGUAACCACCUAGUCAUCGCUCUAGUCGUGCCUUGAUCGCCUCACGUGUGCUUUUCCAGCAUGUGUGAUCAAGUCAAGCCGUGACUAGUGCUGGAUAAAAUGGACUGGUUGUAAAGUCCGGACCUACAGAUCCAUCCGCUGGUGAUUCUCUCGAAUCUAUACCAUCUUUUGUGGACUUGAAUUCUCGGGUUAGCCACAUGUUAACCGCGAUAGUAUUCGACAUCCACACCCGUCCCCUGUACUAUGAAUUUCCUGUAACCACUUGUUGGUAAACCUCUUUCUGUAUGUUUUACCCAAGAGGUUGCAUCUGGUUCUGUUUGGGUAAAAUCGCAUAUCUGGCGCUUGCUCAACAGACUCAGAUAGUACAGUGCCAUCAGAAAAAGCAAACUGCACACAUGGAACCUUAUGUGUUCCUCUGGCAGACAUCAUCUCUAUUGGUGGACAUUUCUAAAUUAGCCUAAGGCAAUACAUGUUAUGUCCACUAGAGAAACGACAUCCUGAGACACUUGCCUUCACUCAUAACUGCCUUAUGAUUCCCGCUGAUAUGGACGUGGGUUACAUGCUUCUCUACUCUUGAAAGUCUUUCGCUCCGAAUCUCGGGACGAGAUUCUUUUAAGGGGGGAGGGUUGUAACACCCCUGGUGUUUAUAUUCUGCUCGACAAUGAGUAUGGAUUUAAGCAUGUAAGAUCAGUGGAUAAAACAGAUAUUAAUUUUUAAUUAUCUUCGUCUAUCGCGAUUUUUAUAUCGCAUCUGUUUUGUCUGUCGCAAGUUCGACAUCGUUUUUAUUUUAUCUGGGCUCUUCCUAAAUUCUCGUGAUGUUCGGAACAUCGUCGUUCCGAAAAUCGGUGCGUCCGGUGAUUAUUUAAAAUUCAUCGCUCGCGCGAAUACGAAUUCGAAAGCACGACCCACUCGGACGAUUUUAUGCCGAGCAAAUUAGUUUGAACUCGACGACUAAAAUGUUUGGGGUAAAAUAAUCCAAAUCGUGCAUCGUCCGAGUGAAAUCGUGCGCGAGGUUAUGAUCCAAUUUAUCCUUCAGCACACUAUUUUGGCGACGAAGUCAAGUGUAUAUUAGCAGAUGAGAUUUAUCUGGUUUCAAUUAAAUCAAACACAGAGUAUGGAUGUAAGUAAGAAUUAUCGGUGAGGAUAAUGGUCUCUAUGUCCUAAUUACCUUCGUCUAUCAUUAAUUUGGAUCAACACAAAUUUGAUUUAAUCUGGAUUUAAAUUUAAGUUUGAAUCGAUAAUUCAAAAAUUUUGGUGACGCAUACUCAAGUUGAAUCAAGCUCUCAUUUAGUGUCUUAGAUAAGAAUCAUUAGAGGUAAUAAACGUUACAUUAUGGGCAAUAUAUAUACGUGUAUAUAUAGUUGGUAAAAAACGAAAAUGUGGAUAAAUCCUCCUUUUUCUUAUCCUUUAACCCACCGUUCAUGAAGCAGGAUUAUUCUUCACGUCACAUUACUCCUCAACGUGUCUUUUCUCUGGCCUAAUCCAUCCACGCUCGAUCUCCAGCACAAAAAAAUCUCUUCACGUCGGCAUCCAGCCCAACCAUCGUACGCGCCAGACUCUUCCAUCGCCUAGCUCGAUGCCCAGCGAGCGUCUGAUUUUUUCCACCGCCGCGCGCUGGUGUCCAUCUCCUGAAGAUUUUUUUCACCGGAUGCCUCUUCUUAUCCCCUCUCCUCUGAUAAUUCACGGUGUCGUCAGAUUUUUUUGCCGCUAACCGUACUGGCUUCAUCGGCUUCCUAGAAAAAUCACGCCGCUCGGAAAAAUCUCACCGCUGAACACUGCUAUUUUAUCUCCAGCCGAACUCCUCUCCGAGCUCAUCCGGCCUCUGCUCCUUCUGCUUCCUCCAUGUGCUGCACGCAGGUUCCCUGUUCAGCGCCCAUCUUCUCCAGCGCCGGCCGCUCCUCUCUGCCCCAGCCCGCCUCCAACUUCCAGCCGGCCGGAGCUCCUUCUCCCUUAGCCAGCGCCCAGCCCACCCGCUCUCCUUCCUCCUCCAGCUCCGGCGCCGUGAAACUUCCUGGUGUCGCGCUCCCGUUUCUCGACCACAGCUCGGAGCCCCUCCAUGGCCGCCGUCGAAGCUCUCUGCCGUGCCCUUGCCAGGCUCCCGCGCAAGCGUUGUUCUUCCCUGGCCCGCGCCGGCUCACUGCUCGGCCCUGCGCUUUCCCUUUCUCUGUGCUCGUGCUCGCCGUGUCGUGAGUCACUGGCCAGCAGUCCAGCUCGCCUCCACUUCCUACGUUCCCUGCUCCAGCUCUACUGUCGCGCGCAGCUCGCCCCUGCGCAGGUGAAUCGCCCUUGGUGCUGGUCGCGUGUUCCUCGCCCGGCUUGACCGCGACCUCGCCGUUGUUCCUCAGCUCGGCGCCUGCUGCUCGUUCCUGCUGCGCGUGUCAAGCUCCCUUUAACCGGUCGUCGUCGAGCUCCUCUAUUGCGCGCGUGAGGUUCUCUCGAGUUUUCUGGUCGAGUCUCGCCGCGCGUCCUGUUUCCUGCUCGCCAGCGUGCCCUCUCGGCUCGCUCGGCUUUAAAAUCCCUAUCUCGUCGUCGACCUCGCCACGACUUAGUUCGUCCGUCGUGCUGGUCACUAUUCCAUAUUGUGCCUAUUAGCUCGGAUCCUGUCCCAGCUCGUCGUUGUGUCAUUCACAGUCCAGUCGUCAAACCCGUCAUCUCCUGCUCAACCCCACCUCACCAGCUCGCUCAAGACUACAAUCGAAGGUCGUCGUCAAUCCGUGUGUCAUCAAGCAAUCUCAAGAAUCGGGUGAAGACGAAGUUAGCAGCGCGAUAUUCCCUAAGCGCUCGACAAAUUGC
rnacentral:lncRNA from 1 species